rnacentral:rRNA from 1 species
UACGGAGGGUGCAAGCGUUGUCCGGAUUUAUUGGGUUUAAAGGGUGCGUAGGCGGCCUUUUAAGUCAGUGGUGAAAGCCGACAGCUCAACUGUCGAACUGCCAUUGAUACUGAAAGGCUUGAGUACAUACGAGGUAGGCGGAAUUGAUGGUGUAGCGGUGAAAUGCAUAGAUACCAUCAAGAACACCGAUUGCGAAGGCAGCUUACUAGUCUGUAACUGACGCUGAGGCACGAAAGUGUGGGGAUCAAACAGGAUUAGAUACCCUGGUAGUCCACACUGUAAACGAUGAUCACUCGCUGUUGGCGAUAAACAGCCAGCGGCUUAGCGAAAGCGUUAAGUGAUCCACCUGGGGAGUACGCUCGCAAGAGUGAA